AUCCGCUUUGUACACUGCAACCAC
rnacentral:siRNA from 1 species